rnacentral:rRNA from 1 species
UACAGAGGUCCCAAGCGUUGUUCGGAUUCACUGGGCGUAAAGGGUGCGUAGGUGGUCGGGUAAGUCUGAUGUGAAAUCUCCAAGCUCAACUUGGAAACUGCAUCGGAUACUAUUCGGCUUGAGGGUUGGAGGGGGGACUGGAAUGCUUGGUGUAGCAGUGAAAUGCGUAGAUAUGCGGAGGAACACCGAUGGCGAAGGCAAUCCCCUGGGCCUGCACUGACGCUCAUGCACGAAAGCGUGGGGAGCAAACAGG